AGUGAACGCUGGCGGUAGGCCUAACACAUGCAAGUCGAACGGCAGCACAGUAAGAGCUUGCUCUUACGGGUGGCGAGUGGCGGACGGGUGAGGAAUACAUCGGAAUCUACUUUUUCGUGGGGGAUAACGUAGGGAAACUUACGCUAAUAUCGCAUACGACCUACGGGUGAAAGCAGGGGAUCUUCGGACCUUGCGCGAUUGAAUGAGCCGAUGUCGGAUUAGCUAGUUGGCGGGGUAAAGGCCCACCAAGGCGACGAUCCGUAGCUGGUCUGAGAGGAUGAUCAGCCACACUGGAACUGAGACACGGUCCAGACUCCUACGGGAGGCAGCAGUGGGGAAUAUUGGACAAAGGGCGCAAGCCUGAUCCAGCCAUACCGCGUGGGUGAAGAAGGCCUUCGGGUUGUAAAGCCCUUUUGUUGGGAAAGAAAAGCAGCAGGUUAAUACCCCGCUGUUCUGACGGUACCCAAAGAAUAAGCACCGGCUAACUUCGUG
rnacentral:rRNA from 1 species